rnacentral:tRNA from 1 species
ACGGGGAUAGCUCAGUUGGGAGAGCAUCAGACUGAAGAUCUGAAGGUCGAGUGUUCGAUUCAUGCUCACCGCA